rnacentral:rRNA from 1 species
CCUACGGGAGGCAGCAGUAGGGAAUCUUCCACAAUGGACGAGAGUCUGAUGGAGCAACGCCGCGUGAGUGAAGACGGGUUUCGGCUCGUAAAGCUCUGUUGGUAGUGAAGAAAGGUGAGGGUAGUAACUGGCCUUUAUUUUACGGUAAUUACUUAGAAAGUCACAGCUAACUACGUGCGCGCAGCCGCGGUAAUACGUAGGGGGCCAGCGUGGUCCGGAUUUGUUGGGUGUAAAGGGAGUGCAGGCGGUUCAAUAAGUCUGAUGUGAAAGCCUUCGGCUCAACCGGAGAAUUGCAUCAGAAACUGUCGAACUUGAGUGCAGAAGAGGAGAGCGGAACUCGAUGUGUAGCGGUGGAAUGCGUAGAUAUAUGGAAGAACACCAGUGGCGAAGGCGGCUCUCUGGUCUGCCACUGACGCUGAGGCUCGAAAGCAUGGGUAGCGAACAGGAUUAGAUACCCGUGUAGUC